UAGCUCAGAGGUUAAAGCGUCUGCCUGCAAUGCAGGAGACCUGGGUUUGAACCCUG
rnacentral:tRNA from 1 species